rnacentral:snRNA from 1 species
AUACAACCUUCGGGAGCACAUAUACUAAAAUUGGAACGAUACAGAGAAGAUUAGCAUGGCCCCUGCACAAGGAUGACACACAAAUUCAUGAAGCGUUCCAUAUUAUU